rnacentral:lncRNA from 1 species
GGUCGUCGCCCUCCACCGCACUUGGGGACGAUCAACCUCCGGGACAGUAGGGAAAUCAUCUACUUAAAUCCCGGGCAUCUAGGACAGUAGGGACAACAUCCACUUAAAUCCUAGGCAUCCAAGUAGAUGGGUCGUCGCCCUCCACCGCACUUGGGGACGAUCAACCUCCGGGACAGUAGGGAAAUCAUCUACUUAAAUCCCGGGCAUCUAGGACAGUAGGGACAACAUCCACUUAAAUCCUAGGCAUCCAAGUAGAUGGGUCGUCGCCCUCCACCGCACUUGGGGACGAUCAACCUCCGGGACAGUAGGGAAAUCAUCUACUUAAAUCCCAGGCAUCUAGGACAGUAGGGACAUCAUCCACUUAGAUCCUAGGCAUCCAAGUAGGUGGGUCGUCGCCCUCCACCACACUUGGGGAACAUAAACCUCUGGGACAGUAGGGACAUCAUCCACUUAGAUCCCAGGCAUCCAAGUAGGUGGGUCGUCGCCCUCCACCGCACUUGGGGACGAACAAAUAAAAAAUAUUUUCGAAUAAAAACUCCAACCCCUGAGGGUUUUCCAAAGCUGCACCCCUGAGGGUCUUCCUGAUGGUUUACCGGAAGUACGGGCCACCAGGGCAUAGGAAUUCUUUCGAACCAUCUUAUGAAGAUGGUUGUCCAGGCAUCCCGAGGGUGUCAAACAUGUG